rnacentral:rRNA from 1 species
GGGGAAUAUUGCACAAUGGGCGCAAGCCUGAUGCAGCCAUGCCGCGUGUAUGAAGAAGGCCUUCGGGUUGUAAAGUACUUUCAGCGGGGAGGAAGGUGUUGUGGUUAAUACCCUGAAGUCAUGACGGUACCGUAAGAAUAAGCACCGGCUAACUACGUGCCAGCAGCCGCGGUAAUACGUAGGGUGCAAGCGUUAAUCGGAAUUACUGGGCGUAAAGCGUGCGCAGGCGGUCUUGUAAGACAGAGGUGAAAUCCCCGGGCUCAACCUGGGAACUGCCUUUGUGACUGCAAGGCUGGAGUGCGGCAGAGGGGGAUGGAAUUCCGCGUGUAGCAGUGAAAUGCGUAGAUAUGCGGAGGAACACCGAUGGCGAAGGCAAUCCCCUGGGCCUGCACUGACGCUCAUGCACGAAAGCGUGGGGAGCAAACA